rnacentral:rRNA from 1 species
GAUGAACGCUGGCGGCGUGCCUAAUACAUGCAAGUCGAGCGAACAGAUGAGGAGCUUGCUCCUCUGACGUUAGCGGCGGACGGGUGAGUAACACGUGGAUAACCUACCUAUAAGACUGGGAUAACUUCGGGAAACCGGAGCUAAUACCGGAUAAUAUAUUGAACCGCAUGGUUCAAUAGUGAAAGACGGUUUUGCUGUCACUUAUAGAUGGAUCCGCGCCGCAUUAGCUAGUUGGUAAGGUAACGGCUUACCAAGGCAACGAUGCGUAUCCGACCUGAGAGGGUGGUAGGCCGCACGAGAACGGGAACACGGUCCAGACUCCUACGGGAGGGAGCAGUCGGGUAUGUGACGCAAUAGGGGAAAACAUUACGGAGCAACGGCGCGUGAGUGACAACAGUCUUGGGAUCGUGAAACUCUGUUAUUGGGUAAGAACAAAUGUGUAAGUAACUAUGCACGUCUUGACGGUACCUGAUCAGAAAGCCACGGCUAACUACGUG